GACGAACGCUGGCGGCGUGCUUAACACAUGCAAGUCGAACGGAAAGGCCCUGCUUUUGUGGGGUGCUCGAGUGGCGAACGGGUGAGUAACACGUGAGUAACCUGCCCUUGACUUUGGGAUAACUUCAGGAAACUGGGGCUAAUACCGGAUAGGAGCUCCUGCUGCAUGGUGGGGGUUGGAAAGUUUCGGCGGUUGGGGAUGGACUCGCGGCUUAUCAGCUUGUUGGUGGGGUAGUGGCUUACCAAGGCUUUGACGGGUAGCCGGCCUGAGAGGGUGACCGGCCACAUUGGGACUGAGAUACGGCCCAGAGUCCUACGGGAGGCAGCAGUGGGGAAUUUUGCACAAUGGGCGGAAGCCUGAUGCAGCAACGCCGCGUGCGGGAUGACGGCCUUCGGGUUGUAAACCGCUUUCGCCUGUGACGAAGCGUGAGUGACGGUAAUGGGUAAAGAAGCACCGGCUAACUACGUG
rnacentral:rRNA from 1 species